GGCCCGGUGGAGUAAACGGCUAACUCGUGACCCUUUCAAGGUCGAGACUACGGGUUCGAAUCCCGUCCGGGCUACCA
rnacentral:tRNA from 1 species